GGCUAAGGUGUCUUGGCUAAGGUGUCUUGGCUAAUGUGUCUUGGCUAAGGUGUCCUGGCUAAUGUGUCUUGACUAAGGUGUCUUGGCUAAUGUGUCUCGGCUAAGGUGUCUUGGCUAAUGUGUCUUGGCUAAUGUGUCUUGGCUAAUGUGUCUCGGCUAAUGUGUCUUGGCUAAUGUGUCUCGGCUAAUGUGUCUCGGCUAAGGUGUCUUGGCUAAUGUGUCUUGGCUAAUGUGUCUUGGCUAAGGUGUCUUGGCUAAGGUGUCUUGGCUAAUGUGUCUUGGCUAAGGUGUCUUGGCUAAGGUGUCUUGGCUAAUGUGUCUUGGCUAAGGUGUCUUGGCUAAGGUGUCUUGGCUAAUGUGUCUUGGCUAAUGUGUCUUGGCUAAGGUGUCUUGGCUAAGGUGUCUUGGCUAAGGUGUCUUGGCUAAGGUGUCUUGGCGAAUGUGUCUUGGCUAAUGUGUCUCGGCUAAUGUGUCUCGGCUAAUGUGUCUUGGCUAAUGUGUCUCGGCUAAGGUGUCUUGGCUAAUGUGUCUUGGCUAAUGUGUCUCGGCUAAUGUGUCUUGGCUAAUGUGUCUCGGCUAAUGUGUCUUGGCUAAGGUGUCUUGGCUAAUGUGUCUUGGCUAAUGUGUCUUGGCUAAGGUGUCUUGGCUAAGGUGUCUUGGCUAAUGUGUCUUGGCUAAGGUGUCUUGGCUAAGGUGUCUUGGCUAAUGUGUCUUGGCUAAGGUGUCUUGGCUAAGGUGUCUUGGCUAAUGUGUCUUGGCUAAUGUGUCUUGGCUAAUGUGUCUUGGCUAAGGUGUCUUGGCUAAGGUGUCUUGGCUAAGGUGUCUUGGCUAAGGUGUCUUGGCUAAUGUGUCUUGGCUAAUGUGUCUCGGCUAAUGUGUCUUGGCUAAUGUGUCUUGGCUAAGGUGUCUUGGCUAAUGUGUCUUGACUAAGGUGUCUUGGCUAAUGUGUCUUGGCUAAUGUGUCUCGGCUAAUGUGUCUCGGCUAAUGUGUCUUGGCUAAUGUGUCUCGGCUAAGGUGUCUUGGCUAAUGUGUCUUGGCUAAUGUGUCUCGGCUAAUGUGUCUUGGCUAAUGUGUCUCGGCUAAUGUGUCUCGGCUAAGGUGUCUUGGCUAAAGUGUCUUGGCUAAGGUGUCU